rnacentral:rRNA from 1 species
GAUGAACGCUGGCGGCGUGCCUAAUACAUGCAAGUCGAGCGAACAGACGAGGAGCUUGCUCCUCUGACGUUAGCGGCGGACGGGUGAGUAACACGUGGAUAACCUACCUAUAAGACUGGGAUAACUUCGGGAAACCGGAGCUAAUACCGGAUAAUAUGUUGAACCGCAUGGUUCAAUAGUGAAAGACGGUUUUGCUGUCACUUAUAGAUGGAUCCGCGCCGCAUUAGCUAGUUGGUAAGGUAACGGCUUACCAAGGCAACGAUGCGUAGCCGACCUGAGAGGGUGAUCGGCCACACUGGAACUGAGACACGGUCCAGACUCCUACGGGAGGCAGCAGUAGGGAAUCUUCCGCAAAGGGCGAAAGCUUGACGGAGCAACGCCGCGUGAGUGAUGAAGGUCUUCGGAUCGUAAAACUCUGUUAUUAGGGAAGAACAAAUGUGUAAGUAACUAUGCACGUCUUGACGGUACCUAAUCAGAAAGCCACGGCUAACUAAGUG